UGGUACACCGUGGCUUAACAGGUGGCUUGCUCAGAAGCUCAGGAGCCCCGCCUUUUCUGCUCCGGUUGAGCCUUGGCCACCAGUCUCCCAGCAAACUCACCUCCCGUGGCAAGGGGGUUUGGAGAGAGAAUUUGGUGGGGUCUGCCCCUGCCAGAAAUCUCUGCGGGCUGCCCAGACCUUCUUUCUUCAAACACCAACUCCAGUCAUGGACUUUUGGGCAUGAUAUAUAUCCAAGUACAGGCUGUUGAUAGAAGAUAAACUACAAAGCAGGAAGGGAUGGAUGCCAUAACCCUAAGCAAAGUGAAGUUGGACUAUUCUGGAAGCAAAGCUAGAUCCUAGACUGCCAUGGAGAUUAAUUGCAGACUUCAGUGAGCCAGGUUGCCAUGACAAGAGAAAGAAGGUCGCAGACCGCCCAGAAUUGAAGUCUUCUUCAGUAAGGAACAGAGCCUUUAAAUCAAGACUUUGGACCACAAGUUCAAUGUGAUUUCUGAUGCAGCCCCACCCAUUCCCUUCAGUUUCUUGUUUGGGUGAAGACUUUGAAACACAGCAAUGCAAUAAUCCAGAAGAAUUUGGAGGGACUAAUAAGAAAGAAUGCUAUCCACAUCCAGAGAAAGAACUGUGGGAGUAGAAACACAGAAGAAAAAUAUUUGAUUGAUCACAUGGUUUGAUGGGGAUAUGAUUGGGGUUUUGGCUUUAAAAGAUCACUCUAUUGCAAAUAUGAAUAACAUGGAAAUAGGUUUUGAACAAUGAUACGUUUAUAACUCAGUAGAAUUGCUUGUCAGCUUGUGGAGAGAGCAAGAAAGUGGGGGGGGGAGGAUCAUGAAUCAUGUCACCAUGGAAAAAUAUUCUAAAUAAAAAUUAUCCUGACCAUUUAUAACCUCUUAAC
rnacentral:lncRNA from 1 species